CGCUCAGGUUCGCGUCUGGCCACGACCCGCCGCCUCCCGGGGUUUUAUUGGUUUCCCCGCACGCUCCCCCCGGCCCCGAAGGGGCGGAGUCACCGGGACUUGGAGCCGCGUCCCGGCGGCGGCCGCGCCAAUCAGCUCAGAUAAAGAACUUUGGGCCCCGCCCCCGGCCGCGGGUCCCGUGGGUGGCGGGACCUGGCGCGGCGGCCCGGGGCUGUGAGGGGUCAGCCGGGGGCGGAGGAAGGUGAAGCGGGCAUCUGGGGUACCGGAGCUCGAGAUUAGCCGCUUGGGACCCGGGCCUGGGACGCGUGGGCUGGGGGCCCGCCCAGGCUCGUCCUUGUUUACGAACGAGAGACUGUGUCAAUGUCACGCAUUCCCGACUAGAAACUAUUUCCAAGAAUCUGAACUCCGGGAUGUCAUUGGUCCUCGCCCAGAGCGGGCUUUUACAGUAGCCAAUCAGCUGCAUUCAAAGGUAUGAGCUUCUCCGCCAUUGGACAGUCAGAGAAGCAGCCUAACCAUCUCUAGUGUUUUCUCCCUGAGCGAACAGGACAAGGCAGGAACUGGAGGUUCCUUUAGCAAGUGGGGACAUGGGGCAGAGGGAGAGAGAGAGAAUCUUAAGCAGGCCCUGAACAGCAUGAAGCCGGACAUGGGCCUCAAUCGCAUGAUGCCCACAUCAUGACUUGAGCUGAAAUCAGGAGUUGGAUGCUCAACCAACUGAACCACCCAGCCUUUUUACAGAAGGGUACUCCCACCGUCUCUUGCAAGAAGAGGCACCUCAAAAUGCACUGUACAUUGGAACGAAAGGAUUGUUUUCCUACUCUGCAGCCCUAAUUCAUCGUUAACACUUCCUGUUUAAAAAUAAAAAUUAAGCAAUUCUUCAACACGCAGUUUUCAUCAACAUUGUGUUGGAAGGAAGAAAUACAGCCCAUCCUGUAAAAGCUAGCAGAUGCUGGGCCUCUCCCUGGCUAAGUGGGUAAAAGGUCAGCCCCACACCCACAGCCUGGGCUGUUCUGGCUGGACUGGUGGUGGAGUCAACAAGGGGAAGUUUAGUAGGUGAAAGGUCACUGCUGUGGAACAGCACUUUCCAUGUGUCAGCUCUCAGACAUCUAGUUUCUGUUCAUGGAAAUAAAGCUAACUAGGGGAAAGGUCACAAAGACCAGAGGCAGCUCUGUAAUAACUGGGGCCUGCCUCAACAUUGUGUCCAAGGCAAGAGGCCAAGUGCUUAGGCCUCCCGGCCUUUAGAAAUUCUGCUGCUCAAGUGGAAAAACAGAGAUUGUAAGGUGCUUUAAAGAUCAUCCUGUACUGAAUGCAGCAAACUGAUAAACAACCUAUGGAGUGACGAAUUUGUAUUAUGUAAAAUAACUUCACAAGGAAAGAUUCUUUGGACAACUGGACUGCAAUAAAGGAUCUUGUAGGUUUUCUUUUUAGUUGCCCUAUACCAGAGCAGUGGUUCCUAAUCCUGGCCACACGUUAGAAUUACUUAGAGGUUACUUAGAGGUUUUACAAAUGAGUGCUGCUUGCUACCAGUUGAAUCAGACUCUCUAGCCAGGGGACCAAGCCACCUUUAUUUUUCUAGUGUCUCAGGUGGCUCUAAUGUACAGCACUGCUUUUGAAUCCUUAAAAACAUGGACAUUUGAAAUGACCCCAGGUUAAGAGAGAAAUUCUCCAUAUUCUGCAUUAGUGCUUUUUAGAUUAUGGGUCGUGACCAAUUAGUGGAUCAUGCAAUCAGUUUAAUGGGUCACAACUAGAAUGAAAAUGCAAUAGAAUAGAGGAAAAAAAGCAUACUUGUGUUAUGUGAGA